rnacentral:rRNA from 1 species
GUGCCAGCCGCCGCGGUAAUACCGGCAGCCCGAGUGAUGGCCGAUAUUAUUGGGCCUAAAGCGUCCGUAGCUGGCCGAACAAGUCCGUCGGGAAAUCCACGUGCUUAACGCGUGGGCGUCCGGUAGAAACUGGCCGGCUUGGAACCGGAAGGCUCAGAGAGUACGUCCGGGGUAGGAGUGAAAUCCCGUAAUCCCGGACGGACUACCGAUGGCGAAAGCACUCUGAGAAGACGGCUUCGACAGUGAGGGACGAAAGCUCGGGUCUCAAACCGGAUUAGAUACCCGAGUAGUCC